UUCAAUAAGUCAUGAAAGCAAUUUUGUGUUGCCUAGUUUGCUUUUCUCCAACAUCACAGUACCAGUAGAAAGUUAUAAGUGUUGCAUGUGUUAUGUUUUGUAGCUUCUGUUUAUGUUGCAUUGCUAAUCCUAUAUGUGUUUUGCAUUUUGUACCUUGAUUUCAGUUCAAAAACAGAAGUCAUAGCUAUACGAGAUCUGUCUUUACACUUGCUCUCCCAAAAUAGUUGCUGUAGUUUCUAGAGGAGUCGCGUCAUCUCCAGCAAGCACUUGUUGCAUUAGGACGUGAGACAAAUUCUGUUCAACUGAAGACAAUUCUGAAUAAGCAAAGUCAAGCCCAGGUCAAAAGGAAGGAGUUUGUUUGAAUCAAGGCAAUGCAGUAGAUUUACAUAAAGCAGAAGAAGUCACAUCAAGUAGAAGAACAUUAAGUGUUGCAUCUCUUAUGUUUGUAUCUUCUGUUUAUGUUACACUCCGAGCGAAUGUCUCAAUCUUGAUUCUAUUAUGUUCUGCAAUAUCUGUACCUUUGCUUUCAGUGCAAAAACGCAUUUGUCUUUAGAUCUACUUAACCCAAAAUUAGUGCACAAUUAGUUGUGUUAACAUUUGAAGGAAGACAA